rnacentral:rRNA from 1 species
AGUGAACGCUGGCGGUAGGCCUAACACAUGCAAGUCGAACGGCAGCACAGUAAGAGCUUGCUCUUACGGGUGGCGAGUGGCGGACGGGUGAGGAAUACAUCGGAAUCUACUUUUUCGUGGGGGAUAACGUAGGGAAACUUACGCUAAUACCGCAUACGACCUACGGGUGAAAGCAGGGGAUCUUCGGACCUUGCGCGAUUGAAUGAGCCGAUGUCGGAUUAGCUAGUUGGCGGGGUAAAGGCCCACCAAGGCGACGAUCCGUAGCUGGUCUGAGAGGAUGACAGGCAAGAUUGGGACUGAGAGAGGGACCAGACUGAGAAGGGGAGGAGAAGUGGGGAAUAGUGCAAAAGGGGCGGAAGCAAGAAGCAGCAACGCGGUGUGCGGGGUAACGGCCUUAGGGGUGUAAACCGAUUUGGCCUGUGAAGAAGCGUGAGAGAAGGGAAUGGGUAAAGAAGAAAGGGCGAAGUACGCG